GCAAGUCGAACGGUGAAGCCCAGCUUGCUAGGUGGAUCAGUGGCGAACGGGUGAGUAACACGUGAGCAAUCUGCCCCUGACUCUGGGAUAAGCGCUGGAAACGGUGUCUAAUACUGGAUAUGAGCUGCGACCGCAUGGUCAGUAGUUGGAAAGAUUUUUCGGUCAGGGAUGAGCUCGCGGCCUAUCAGCUUGUUGGUGAGGUAAUGGCUCACCAAGGCGUCGACGGGUAGCCGGCCUGAGAGGGUGACC
rnacentral:rRNA from 1 species